rnacentral:rRNA from 1 species
UACGUAGGGAGCAAGCGUUGUCCGGAAUCAUUGGGCGUAAAGCGCGCGUAGGUGGCCCCAUAAGUCCGCUGUGAAAGUCAAAGGCUCAACCUUUGAAAGCCGGUGGAUACUGUGGGACUAGAGUACGGAAGAGGCGAGUGGAAUUCCUGGUGUAGCGGUGGAAUGCGCAGAUAUCAGGAAGAACACCCGUGGCGAAGGCGGCUCUCUGGGACGGUACUGACGCUGAGACGCGAAAGCGUGGGGAGCGAACAGG